ACGGGAGGCAGCAGUGGGGAAUAUUGGGCAAUGGGCGCAAGCCUGACCCAGCAACGCCGCGUGAAGGAUGAAGGCCUUCGGGUUGUAAACUUUUGUUAUAAAGGACGAAGAUAGUGACGGUACUUUAUAAGGAAGCCCCGGCUAACUAUGUGCCAGCAGCCGCGGUAAUACAUAGGGGGCAAGCGUUGUCCGGAAUUACUGGGCGUAAAGGGAGCGUAGGCGGUUGAUUAAGUCAUGUGUGAAAGCCCGAAGCUUAACUUCGGAAUUGCACCUGAUACUGGUUAACUAGAGUAUUGGAGAGGUAAGUGGAAUUCCUAGUGUAGCGGUGGAAUGCGUAGAUAUUAGGAAGAACAUCGGUGGCGAAGGCGACUUACUGGACAACAACUGACGCUGAGGCUCGAAAGUGUGGGGAGCAAACAGGAUUAGAUACCCUGGUA
rnacentral:rRNA from 1 species